rnacentral:rRNA from 1 species
GUGAAGAGGGAAGAGCUCAAAUUUGAAAUCUGGCAGUGUUUUGCUGUCCGAGUUGUAAUCUAGAGAAGUGCUGCCCGUGCUGGACCAUGUACAAGUCUCCUGGAAUGGAGCGUCACAGAGGGUGAGAAUCCCGUCUUUGACAUGGACUGCCAGUGCAUUUGUGGUGUGCUCUCAAAGAGUCGAGUUGUUUGGGAAUGCAGCUCUAAAUGGGUGGUAAACUCCAUCUAAAGCUAAAUAUUGGCGAGAGACCGAUAGCGAACAAGUACCGUGAGGGAAAGAUGAAAAGAACUUUGGAAAGAGAGUUAAACAGUAUGUGAAAUUGUUGAAAGGGAAACGCUUAAAGUCAGUCGUGUCGGCCAGGGAUCAACUCAGUAUUAUCUGCUGGGUGUACUUCCUGAUCUGAUGGGCCAACAUCAGUUUUGACUGCUGGAGAAGGAUAGAGGGAAUGUGGCACCUUUGGGUGUGUUAUAGCUCUCUGUCGGAUGCAGUGGUUGGGACUGAGGAAUGCAGCAUGCCGCAAGGCCGGGUCGUUUCGACCACGUUCAUGCUGAGGAUGUUGGCAUAAUGGCUUUAAUCGACCCGUCUUGAAACACGGACCAAGGAGUCUAACAUGCCUGCGAGUGUUUGGGUGGCAAACCCGAGUGCGGAAUGAAAGUGAAAGGUUGAGAUCCCUGUCAUGGGGAGCAUCGACGCCCGGACCUGAGCUCAAUGCAAAGGAUCUGCGGUAGAGCAUGUAUGUUAGGACCCGAAAGAUGGUGAACUAUGCCUGAAUAGGGUGAAGCCAGAGGAAACUCUGGUGGAGGCUCGUAGCGAUUCUGACGUGCAAAUCGAUCGUCG